ACCAUGUAUACUGUGACAAAUAUUGACCUAUGAGUUGGUUAUCAUUGUUGCAAUGUAAGUAACAGUAACGAUGUUAGUCAAUGCAAACGUCGGUAUUUUACAAUCAACAAGUUUUAU
rnacentral:precursor_RNA from 10 species